GACAGAGGGGGCAAGCGUUGUCCGGAGUGACUGGGCGUACAGCGCGCGCAGGCGGGUCGCGACGUGCCGUGUAACAGCGCACUGCUCACCAGUGCGUAGCCAUGGUAGACGCGCGGUCUGGAGGCCGUGAGAGGGAUGUGGAAUACCCAGUGGAGCGGUGAAAUGCGUAGAGAUGUGGAGGAACACCGAUGGCGAAGGCAGCCCCCCUGGGCUAAGAUUGACGCUCAUGCACGAAAGCGUGGGGAGCAAACAGG
rnacentral:rRNA from 1 species